ACAGGCUGUACAUCGAGUCCAUCUUUCUAACUAGAAAUCUUCUUAUCUUUUCCUGGAAUUCUGACAGUGAAAUGGAACGUACUAUAACUUGGGUGCUGCCUGACAGUGUGAAUGAGGAGACAGAAGAAAUGAAGGCGGAGUCCCUGAAGAAAAGUGAGGAUUUACUGAGACGGACAAACAUUGAAAGGCAGACUAUCACCAAGGAGUGGAAAGACCUGCAAAGGUUCCUUGAAGAGCAAGGAGAACACGUAUUGCAGAGUCUGGAUGAGCUGGAGCGAGAAAUAAUUCGGAGGAGAGAUCAGCCCAUUUGGGAAGGUCCUGAAAGGAGGUCAACUUUUCAAGAGAAUGUAGACGGCAACCAGAAGCCACUUGCAAAUAGCUUCCUGGGAACGAAGAGCAGGACAAAUACAGCAUUUCCUAUUCAAAGUCGCUUUGCGGAACUGGAAGAGAGAAUGAGACAGUUUUCUGAAAAAAGGACUGUAUUGCAGGAAGUGCUGCUGACAUUUAAAGGUGAGGGGGAACC
rnacentral:lncRNA from 1 species